CAAAAAUCGAAAAUAAAAUACAAUAUAAUACUAAUCGUAAUGCUGCUAUUCCACCAGUCAUUCAAUUAUUGGUUGCACUCAGAUUUUAUGCAACUGGAUGCUUUUUAAUAACAGCUGCUGAUUUUUGUGGAAUUAGUGAAACAAGCGCUCACAAAAUUAUUCAUAGAGUAUCUCCUGAGAUUGCUGCAUUACGAAACGAUUUUAUAAAAUUACCUCUUUUAUCUGAGGAAAUUCGAGAAAAUGAACAAAAAUUUUUCAAAGUAGCCAAAUUUAUUCGUGUUAUUGGUUGUAUGGAUUGCACACAUAUUAAAGUGGAAUCAUUUGGAGGAGAAAAUUGCGAAUUAUAUCGCAAUAGAAAAGGCUUUUUUUCUAUAAAUGUGCAAGUCAUAAUAAAUGCCAAAUUAGAAAUAAUUGAUAUUGUAGCACGUUGGCCAGGAUCAACACAUGAUUCUACAAUUUUUAAUCAUUCUAGAAUUAAAACCUUAUUUGAUGCACAUACAUUUGGUGACAGUUUACUUCUUGCAGAUUCUGGGUAUCCAAAUCUACCAUAUUUAAUGACACCGUUGUUACAUCCCACAACACCAGAAGAACAUUUAUAUAAUGAAGCUCAAAUUCGAACACGUACAAGAAUUGAAAGAUGUUUUGGCAUUUGGAAAAGAAGAUUUGCUAUUUUAUCAAUUGGAAUGCGAUGUCGCACAGUUGAAAAUACAUUUCCUAUUAUAAUA